CUCCUUUUUUGCCCCGUGUAAACUUAGUUGAUGCGAAUAAUAAUCAGUUGAAUCACCCUGUGACGGAAACGAUUCGUUUCCUCUAUGUAUUAAUCGGAUUUUUGAACUUGGAGUACGGUGCUGGAGCUUGCUCCACCCUGCUCAUGGGUUGUCCUGGUAUUGCAUUGCCUCCAGGUUCGGCUCACGUUUC
rnacentral:snRNA from 1 species